rnacentral:tRNA from 1 species
CUAAGCAGGUAGGCCUCGAUCCCACAACAAUCCUAGUUAACAGCUAGGCGCCCAAGCCUGGCGGGCUUCUGCUUA